rnacentral:misc_RNA from 1 species
UCUCCGUUGGUGAACCAGCGGAGGGAUCAUUACAGAGUUAUACAACUCCCAUACCAUCUGUUAACCUACCCAGUUAUGCCUCGGCGUAAGCUCGGUUGGAGGCACCUGCAGCUACCCUGUAGUUGCGGACUGCCAACUCCAGCCGCGGCCCGCCGGCGGUACACUAAACUCUGUUUUAUUUUAUAUUCUGAGCGUCUUAUUUUAAUAAGUUAAAACUUUCAACAACGGAUCUCUUGGCUCUG